rnacentral:lncRNA from 10 species
CCGUGGGAGGGAAGGCACUCUCUGUCAAGCUGCUGUCACCUUACCUGAAGUAAGGAGUCCACGCCUGCAUGUCCGAGGAAAACAGUUUUCUCAAACACAUUAGUUGAAAAACUGAAGACGCUGCCUAAAAUACAAGCUGAGUUAGAGACAGCCCUUGUAAGACUAGAACACAUAAAAGCACUGUGGAAGUGGCAACAGGGAAGGUGAGAAGAGGAUUAUCAAAGACAUUGUGAUGAUAGAAUGGACAGGACUUGGUGAACUGAGUUGAUGCAGGCAGAAUCAUGAUAUUGUGUGAUUAAAGCCAUCUUGUGUCAUAUAAGGUCUUGAGCCUACUUGCCUUCAGAUUGGAACUUUACCAUCUGCUCUCCUGGUUCUCAGGCCUUCAGGGGAGUCUAGAACUAUGCCACUGACUCUCCUGGUCUCCAGUUUUUC